rnacentral:rRNA from 1 species
GAUGAACGCUGGCGGCGUGCCUAAUACAUGCAAGUCGAGCGAAUGGAUUAAGAGCUUGCUCCUAUGAAGUUAGCGGCGGACGGGUGAGUAACACGUGGGUAACCUGCCCAUAAGACUGGGAUAACUCCGGGAAACCGGGGCUAAUACCGGAUAACAUUUUGAACCGCAUGGUUCGUAAUUGAAAGGCGGCUUCGGCUGUCACUUAUGGAUGGACCCGCGUCGCAUUAGCUAGUUGGUGAGGUAACGGCUCACCAAGGCAACGAUGCGUAGCAGACCUGAGAGGGUGAUCGGCCACACUGGGACUGGGACACGGCCCAGACUCCUACGGGAGGCAGCAGUAGGGAAUCUUCCGCAAUGGACGAAAGUCUGACGGAGCAACGCCGCGUGAGUGAUGAAGACUUUCGGGUCGUAAAACUCUGUUGUUAGGGAAGAACAAGUGCUAGUUGAAUAAGCUGACACCUUGACGGUACCUAACCAGAAAGCCACGGCUAACUACGUGCCAGCCGCCGCGGUAA